rnacentral:lncRNA from 1 species
AUGGCCCCCAAACACCUGUCUCCACUCCCACCUCAAGUGAAGAAACCAAGACCACCUCCUGCCCUGAGACCAGAGAAGACAUUGACUUCUGCAGGCUUACUGAAGAAGGGAGAAGAAGAGCAAGAAGCAAUUGAACACAUUGAUAAAGUACGAAAUGAAAUAGACAGACUUAAUGAACAAGCCAGUGAGGAGAUUUUGAAAGUAGAACAGAAAUAUAACAAACUCCGUAAAUAAUUUUCUCAGAAGAGGUCAGAAUUGAUUGCCAAAAUCCCAGAUUUUUGGGUAACAACAUUUGUUAACCAUCCAAAAGUGUCUGCACUGCUUGGGGAGGAGGACGAAGAGGCAGUGCAUUACUUGACCAGAGUCGAAGUGAUGGAAUUUGAUGACAUUAAAUCAAAUUGCUGAAUAGAUUUUUAUUUUGAUGAAAAUCCUUACUUUGGAAAUAAAAUUCUCUCCAAAGAAUUUCAUCUGAAUGAGAGAGGUGAUCCAUCUUCAAAGUCCACUGAAAUCAAAUGGAAAUCUGGAAAGGAUUUGACAAAACAUUCAAGUUAAACACAGAAUAAAGCCAGCAGGAAGAAGCAGCAUGCGGAACUAGAGAGUUUUUUACCUGGUUUACUGACCAUUCUGAUGUAGGGGCUAAUGAGUUAGGAGAGGUCAUCAAAGAUGAUAUUUGGCCAAACCUAUUACAGUACUACUUGGUUUCCGAUAUGGAUGAUGAAGAAGGAGAAGGAGAAGAUGAUGAUGAAGAUGAAGAAGGAGAAGGAGAAGAUGAUGAUGAAGAUGAAGAAGGAGAAGGAGAAGAUGAUGAUGAAGAAGAGGAGAAAGGAUUAGAAGGUAUUGAUGAAGAAGGGGAUGAGGAUGAAGGUGAAGAAGAAGAAGAUGAUGAUGAAGGGGAGGGAGAGGAGGAUGAAGGAGAAGAUGACUAA